rnacentral:rRNA from 1 species
UGGGGAAUUUUGGACAAUGGGCGCAAGCCUGAUCCAGCCAUUCCGCGUGCAGGACGAAGGCCUUCGGGUUGUAAACUGCUUUUGUACGGAACGAAAAGGCCCUGGCUAAUACCUGGGGCUCAUGACGGUACCGUAAGAAUAAGCACCGGCUAACUACGUGCCAGCAGCCGCGGUAAUACGUAGGGUGCAAGCGUUAAUCGGAAUUACUGGGCGUAAAGCGUGCGCAGGCGGUUAUGUAAGACAGAGGUGAAAUCCCCGGGCUCAACCUGGGAACUGCCUUUGUGACUGCAUAGCUGGAGUACGGCAGAGGGGGAUGGAAUUCCGCGUGUAGCAGUGAAAUGCGUAGAUAUGCGGAGGAACACCGAUGGCGAAGGCAAUCCCCUGGGCCUGUACUGACGCUCAUGCACGAAAGCGUGGGGAGCAAACA